rnacentral:rRNA from 1 species
UACGUAGGGGGCAAGCGUUGUCCGGAAUCAUUGGGCGUAAAGCGCGUGUAGGCGGCCCGGUAAGUCCGCUGUGAAAGUCGGGGGCUCAACCCUCGAAUGCCGGUGGAUACUGUCGGGCUCGAGUACGGAAGAGGCGAGUGGAAUUCCCGGUGUAGCGGUGAAAUGCGCAGAUAUCGGGAGGAACACCAGUAGCGAAGGCGGCUCGCUGGGCCGUUCCUGACGCUGAGACGCGAAAGCUAGGGGAGCGAACAGG